rnacentral:lncRNA from 1 species
UAUCAGAAUGCUUACAAAAAAAAAGCAACAAAUUCACACAGUUGAGUAAAACGCGUCGUUCACACACAAUCUACCUAAAAUUGGUAUUUUACAAAUUUCUGCAUAAUUUCAUCGACAGAUUCAGAACAAUUUCAAUUCCAUAACACAAUAUAGGGAUUGGAACUUGGAAGCAUUAAAAAAAAGAAGCAUUACAGAAUCUGUGGCAAUUUGUGAAAGAGAACAAUUGUAAUUGUAUUAUGCAUAUGCGGGUUUUCAAUUUGUGAAAUAGAUCAGUCAAUUUGUAAAACAGAUC